GCCCCUUUCCACGUCCGCCUGCUCUCGUCUGCUUUCCAGGCGAGGCGCAGUUCAACUCGAACGAGCCUAUUCUCUACGUACAGUUACGCACCGAAUCACGUCGGACGUUGUGGCUCGUGACCAUACAUACGUUCUUAGCGGCCACGCGACGCCGUAGCUGUCAGUGAGAGGACCUUUAAAUGGCCGCUCGGUACGACUCGGUAAUAACCGGUAAUAACGCUGCUACGGAGAGAUUCGGUUAAACAGCGGCUGUGUUUACCGCUAGUGUCGCUCGGUUUAUACCAAACUAACAUUUUGACCGUUUUAUUUGUUGUGAAACGAAACGAAAAUGAGCGACGAGGACGAGUUUCUGCAGAAAGCUCGAACCGGGUUUGAAGACCUAUGUCGAGCUUUAAAUAUGGACGAGGAGGCGAGUAGAGAGGCGUGGAGGAGCUACGAGGACAUGAGCAGGAACUAUACCUUAGAGGGCAGCGUCCUCCACUGGUUGUCCUGCUCUCUGUACGUAGCCUGCAGGUCUUCAGUCCCCACAGUGGGUAAAGGCACCACUGAAGGAAACUACGUCUCUCUGACCAGAAUCCUACGCUGCUCAGAGAUGAGUCUGAUCGAGUUCUUUAAUAAGAUGAAGAAGUGGCAGGACAUGGCCGACCUGCCUCAGGACUUCCGUCAGAGCACCAACAAACUAGAGAGGAACUUCACCGUGUCGGCGGUGAUCUUCAAGAAGUACGUCCCGAUCUUCAAAGCCAUCUUCAAGGCGCCGUCCGAGGAGCCGACCCGAGUUCACCGCAGCCGCAAACAGAGACGUCAUCCCUGCUCUGUGACCGAGGUCUUCAACUUCUGCUGGGUUCUGUUUGUCCACGCUAAAGGGAACUUCCCGAUGAUCAGCGAUGACCUGGUGAACUCCUACCACCUGCUGCUGUGUGCCCUGGAUCUGGUCUUCACCAACGCUCUGCUGUGCAACGCCAGGAAGGACCUGCUGAACCCCAACUUCAGAGGUCUACCAGUGGACUUCAGCACUAAAGACUUCAGGCCGUCUUCAGGGCCGCACUGCUUCAUAGAGCAGCUAUGUGAGCUGCAUGAUGGUCUGGUGCUGGAGGCCAAAGGGGUCAAAGAACACUUCUGGAAACCCUUCAUCAAGAAGCUCUUCCACAAGAGGAUUGUCAGAGGAAAGGAGGACAGUCUGACCGGCUUUCUGGAUCCCUUGAACUUUGGAGACAGUUUUUUGUCUCUGACUCGAGUGUAUGAGGAACAUGUUCUGGCCACUGGUAGUCUGGAUGAGAGGAUCUUCACCGGUGACGGGGCGAGCGAGGACAUCGGGACACCGGGGCCCAGCCUGUGUGAGGGGGUGGAGAACCAGGACAGCGCCACAUACAGGCUUCACACCAGCCUCACGGCCUCGGCUCUGAAGGUGUCCACUCCUCUGACAGGGAGGAAGUACGUUCAGGAGAACAGAUGGUCGUCUCCCGUCUCGUCUGCCAUGAAGAGCGUCGGGCGACUCCACACUCUGCUGUCAGGAACCAAACAAGGGCCGAGCGCUAAGCUGAGAGAGACUCUCAGGACCUGUGCCAGAGACCCCAGUGAUGUUAUCAGCAAGCGCCUGAAGGAUAUGUUUGAGCUCUUGUGUCAACACUACGAGGGCAGCGGUGCAGAGAGCAAGGUGAUGGGGAGAGACAUGGCAGUGAAGUACUUCCACCUGGCGGAGGCGCUCUACUACAGGAUGCUGGAGUCCAUCAUCGAGAGAGAGAAGAUGAUCCUGGGAGACGCAGACUUGUCCUGUAUCCUGGAGCAGGACGUCUUCCACCGCUCUCUGCUGGUCUGCUGUCUGGAGAUCGUGGUCUUCUCCUACAGACCUCCAGGAGAUUUCCCCAACUUGAUCACCAUCUUCCAGCUGCCAGCGUAUCACUUCUACAAGGUGAUCGAAGUGCUGGUGCGGUCGGAGCAGGGUCUGUUUCGGGAGGUGGUGAAGCACCUGAACCAGGUGGAGGAGCAGGUUCUGGAGAGUCUGGCCUGGACCAGCGACUCCCCGCUGUGGGAGAGCCUCCGUGGGGCCAAAGACCACGUCCCCGCCUGCAAGCAGGUGAUGCCCCCUCAGUAUCUGGAACAAAGCGAUGAGAGCAGCAGUGUUCCUCAGACUCCCAUCAACCAGGGACCAGAACUCAGAGGCGUGUCCCCGUCCCCGACCAUGCUGUUUGACCGGUACAGCUCUCCUCCCACCGGCCCGUUUCGCCGCCGUCUGUUCGUCGACCCUGCGGACAGAGAACCGACCGCUGUGACCAAGACCGGCCUGGUCGCCACCAUCCCAGCUGGGCAGACGGUGGUCUCAAUGGCGACCGCCACCGUCACCGCCAACAACGGGCAGACAGUCACCAUUCCGGUGCAAGGGAUAGCCAAUGAGAGCGGAGGCAUCACCUUCUUCCCCGUCCAGGUGAGCGUGACCGGACAGGGAGGAGCCACGCUGCAGCCGCUGUCCACACAGACUCUGACCGGCACCCUCACCGUCCAAUCGGUCGUCAGCACACCGGCUAAACCAGCAGCCGGUGGUCCGCUGAGGAAAGGAUCGCUGUCACUGUUCUUCAGGAAGGUGUACCACCUGGCCAGCGUCCGUCUCAGAGACCUUUGUUCCAAACUGGACAUCUCUUCAGAUCUGAGGAGGAAGAUGUGGACGUGUUUUGAACAUUCUUUGGUUCACUGCAGUGACCUGAUGAUGGACCGUCACCUGGACCAGCUGCUCAUGUGUGCUGUGUACGUCAUGGCCAAGGUGACCAAAGAAGACAAAUCCUUCCAGAACAUCAUGAAGUGUUACAGAACGCAGCCUCAGGCCAGCAGCAAUGUGUACAGGAGUGUGUUGAUCUCAGGGAGGAGACGUCACUCAGGCAGCAACAACACCAACAAACUCAACUCACCUGUCGACGUCCACCAGGAUCCAGGUAAGUAACAGCUGGUUUAGUUCAGUCCUUUGUGUUGGAUUCACUGAGGAAACAUGUUUUGUUUGUUGUGGUUUUUUAUAUUUUUUUUAUUGAGUAAGGUUCUUGGUAUAACACAUAUAGUUCAACAAGAGAAAUCAAAUUUCAUAAUAUCAUUGUUCAUUUAUCUGAGGAGCUCUAAUAUAUUAUUGUCAUUAAUUUAUACGUACAUUUUCAUGAGUUGUAAAGAUUCCUUCCAUUUUUUAAUAUGUUUUAGCAGUUCGUCUCUUUUUAUCCUUUUUCAUUAGAAAGUUAUUUUCUCAAUGUCAAAGGUUUUUAUUAUCUAGUUUCUUAACUGCAAAUACUUAAACUAUUCUCUGUCUUUUAGACCUUUAGUGUGUUAAACGUCACACACACACACACACACACACACACACACACACACACACACACACACACACACACACACACACACACACACACACACACACACACUCUGUAUAUGUUCAUGUGUUUACAGGACUUCUUCAGAACGUUGGUUGAGAUGACAGAACCAGAACCAAAGAGGGAUCCUGAAGACCGGACUGAGACGGACCUGAUGGAUCCAGAUGAACCUCCCAGUUGUUCCAGGCUGACCACUAACCAGCUGCAGCAGAACUUGAGAGCCGUGAAGAAGAGAGAGCGACCCGUCAGGCUGCUGUUUGAAAUCCCAACGACUCGAAUCAUCAAAGAUGUUCUGACCGAAUACGUGGUGAGACGUCACACCCGUAUGUCAAGUGUCAGGUACACCUGUUUUACAAGUGUAUGGUACACCUGUAUGACAAGUGUCAGUUACACCUGUAUGACAAGUGUAUGGUACACCUGUAUGACAAGUGUCAGGUACACCAGUUGCAGGUGCACCUGCAACUCUGUUCACCUGUAAUCUUUAUUUGUUCUUUGUAGCGUUCAACUUUCAAAUCAAGAUCAUAAAAUGCGUCACAGAACAGCAGCCUGCUGUGGAUCAAUACAACAUGUUUUAUAUUAACAUCACUAUAACCAGAGGAAUAAUAAAGUCUGUACUGUGUCUUUAAAUGCAGGUACAUCUUCUACUAAGAGAGUCAAAUGUUCAUAUUGAUAUAGCUCUCAUGUCUGCACAGCAGCUGAGUGGCUUAGCUUAGCA